rnacentral:rRNA from 1 species
AACGUAGGAGACAAGCGUUAUCCGGAGUUACUGGGCGUAAAGGGCGUGUAGGUGGUUUCGUAAGUCUGGCGUGAAAUUUUUCGGCUUAACCGGGAAAGGUCGUCGGAUACUGCGGGACUAGAGGACGGUAGAGGCGUGUGGAAUUCCGGGUGUAGUGGUGAAAUGCGUAGAGAUCCGGAGGAACACCAGUGGCGAAGGCGACACGCUGGGCCGUACCUGACACUGAUGCGCGACAGCAUGGGGAGCAAACAGG